rnacentral:rRNA from 1 species
GAUGAACGCUGGCGGCGUGCCUAAUACAUGCAAGUCGAGCGAACAGACGAGGAGCCUGCUCCUCUGACGUUAGCGGCGGACGGGUGAGUAACACGUGGAUAACCUACCUAUAAGACUGGGAUAACUUCGGGAAACCGGAGCUAAUACCGGAUAAUAUAUUGAACCGCAUGGUUCAAUAGUGAAAGACGGUUUUGCUGUCACUUAUAGAUGGAUCCGCGCCGCAUUAGCUAGUUGGUAAGGUAACGGCUUACCAAGGCAACGAUGCGUAGCCGACCUGAGAGGGUGAUCGGCCACACUGGAACUGAGACACGGUCCAGACUCCUACGGGAGGCAGCAGUAGGGAAUCUUCCGCAAUGGGCGAAAGCCUGACGGAGCAACGCCGCGUGAGUGAUGAAGGUCUUCGGAUCGUAAAACUCUGUUAUUAGGGAAGAACAAAUGUGUAAGUAACUAUGCACGUCUUGACGGUACCUAAUCAGAAAGUCACGGCUAACUACGU